rnacentral:rRNA from 1 species
GACGAACGCUGGCGGCGUGCCUAAUACAUGCAAGUAGAACGCUGAAGACUUUAGCUUGCUAAAGUUGGAAGAGUUGCGAACGGGUGAGUAACGCGUAGGUAACCUGCCUACUAGCGGGGGAUAACUAUUGGAAACGAUAGCUAAUACCGCAUAACAGCAUUUAACCCAUGUUAGAUGCUUGAAAGGAGCAAUUGCUUCACUAGUAGAUGGACCUGCGUUGUAUUAGCUAGUUGGUGAGGUAACGGCUCACCAAGGCGACGAUACAUAGCCGACCUGAGAGGGUGAUCGGCCACACUGGGACUGAGACACGGCCCAGACUCCUACGGGAGGCAGCAGUAGGGAAUCUUCGGCAAUGGGGGCAACCCUGACCGAGCAACGCCGCGUGAGUGAAGAAGGUUUUCGGAUCGUAAAGCUCUGUUGUAAGAGAAGAACGUGUGUGAGAGUGGAAAGUUCACACAGUGACGG